CUGGCUUGCGACGGCGAGCUGCUUGCCGCGCCUGCUGUCUGGCGCUUGUGCUUGCGCCGUAGCGAGAAGCCGGGCAGGGCGAGAGAGAGAGAGAGAGGGGAAGGGAACGCGGCGUGCCGGGGAUUUCCAGCCUGGGCUUCGGGAGGGCGGGAGAGGAAGUGCGGGGCGGGGUGAGGGGAGAGAAAGAGAGCCGGGGCAGCGCACCAGGGACUUUCCAGGCAGCCGGAGCGAGGCGGCGGCGGCUGCUGCUGCGUUUGGCGGGGCUGCUGCUGGUGCAGCAGCAGGAGGAGAAGGCGGCGGCGGCGGCGCUGGUAGCGACGGCUCUUUUCUCCUCCGUCUCCCCUUCCCUUCCCUUCCUCGCGCAGGGAGAGGAGAGAAGGAAGCAGGUAGGGCAGCCGGGCUGUUGCGCCCCUCGAGGCGCAGGCGGAAUCCGGGGAGAGGAGGCGAGGGGGGUCCCCUCCGGCUGAGGAGGCGGUGUGUGUGUGUGUGUGCGCGCGCGCAGGGGUGCGUGUGUGUGUGUUGUGUGUGAGGCGGGCGGGCGGGGGGCGCCUCUGGUCUGCUGGCUGCUCCCGCCGCUGCUGCUGCAUUUGCGCGCAGGCUGUGAGGGGAAGGAGGUGGUGGAUGCCGGAGGUCCUUUCCGGAGCCUCCUCGGGGAAAAGGGAAGGGGGCGUGAGGAGGGAGGAGGAGGAGAGGGGCGGCUGGGUGGCCGGGCAGCCUUCAUGGUGGCGCCGCCUCGGCUCCUGGGCUGGAGCUGCUGCUGCUGCGAAGGGCUGGCAGGGCGAGAGCCGAGGAAGGUCGGCGGGCUGGGCUGCGCCGCGGCAGGCAGGAGCGCGCGAGGAGCCGUCGGGGCUGCCUGAGGGCGCGCGAGGGGACGCCCGCUUGCCCGCUCCCGCUUCGCGGCUGUUGCUUCGCUCUCCCUCUCUGGCUCCCCCCCCCAACCCACCCCCUCAUUCCACUCGAGGCAGCUGCCCGCCAAGGGGGUCUGCGCCCGGGGACUAUGCAGGGACCCGGUUGCUUCUGUUGCUCACUCCCAUUCGGUCUCCAUGCUUUGACUGCCGGGGAAAAGGCUUCUGGGGCUCAGAGGUAGAUUCCAUUCGCUCGCUGCUGCUGCUGCUGCUCUUGCUCUCGACGCCAGGAGUAAAUGCUUGCUUCUGAGCCGCUGGCUUUGCUCAGAUCUCCAGAUCUCCCAAGUUCAUCCUUCCAGCUGUUUGCUGCUAUCGCUGCUCGCCCCCCAGCCCACCCCCGCCGCUUCAGUCUGCCCCGGUGCUUGCUUUGGAGACGGGGGCGCGCGCGCCUGUAUAUGCAUUAUUGCUCUUUGAGAGAGACUACUUUGGAAGGCCGAAAAAACAAACAAACACCUUAACGUCUCGGUGUUGGAAAGUGGAUCAGACCAGAAUAGCCUUGUAGCCAGUGCGGAAGAAGGAGCUCCUCUGUAAAGGACACAGAAAGAAAGUUACAGGAGUCAACAUUUGACGGUAUCAACUGGGAAACGGAUUCGCAGUUCAUUUUUUGUUGCCCUUUCUUCUCUGUUCAAACGUAGAUGUCCUUGCCCCUUUCGUCUGCCAUUAUACAGUAAUAUUUAUCAACUGCAACAUGGACGCAAGCAAGAAAGCAGAUCCCCCGGUGUCAGUGGAACUGGUCCAAAAGGCAAACCCCGACCGCAGCCCAGUGCCAUCCAUUUAUGUGCCCGAACAAGGUGGCUACAAAGAGAAAUUUGUGAAUGCGGUGGAGGACAAAUACAAAUGCGAAAAGUGCCACCUCAUUUUGUGCAAUCCAAAGCAGACAGAAUGUGGGCAUCGGUAUUGCGAGACCUGUAUGAAUGCUUUGCUAAGCUCUGCAAUUCCAAAAUGUACAGCAUGUCAAGAAACAAUAGUGAAAGAUAAGGUAUAGUUCCAUCUCCCCACCCCCUCCCCAAAAAACCACCUUAUUGUGCAUCUUAAACUAGGUUGCUUUGCUUAUCUCAGACAAGAAAUUGGCCUUUACUUUCUGCAGUGUAAAUGCAUUUCUAGCUCUUUUUCUCUUGCUCCAGAAUUUUCCAUGAGUGCAGUUCUUGUAUGGGUUGUCCUUUUCAAAAACAGGGCCCACCUGACCCCCAGGAAAGCAGGUAGAGCGGGAUUCUUAUAGCUGAUCUUCUAACUCCUGAUAGCAGACAGCUAAUGUUGAACUGUCUCCUUACUUGCUCGCCAUUCACACAUAACUGCAGUUCUUCCCUGAGGAAUCAGCCGAGGUGCGUGUAGCCAACAAUCCAUAACAGGCGGAUAGAGAUGUAGUUAUCUAGCACAAGUUCUAUUAUAACAAGGCAAGCAUGACAAGAUAGUUCUGCAGUAGGGAGUUUGCAAACAAUACACCACGGGUAGCUAACGUGGUGCCCUCCAGAUGCUGUU